rnacentral:rRNA from 1 species
CAGCCGCCGCGGGAAAACGUAGGGUGCAAGCGUUAAUCGGAAUUACUGGGCGUAAAGCGUGCGCAGGCGGUUAUAUAAGACAGAUGUGAAAUCCCCGGGCUCAACCUGGGAACUGCAUUUGUGACUGUAUAGCUAGAGUACGGCAGAGGGGGAUGGAAUUCCGCGUGUAGCAGUGAAAUGCGUAGAUAUGCGGAGGAACACCGAUGGCGAAGGCAAUCCCCUGGGCCUGUACUGACGCUCAUGCACGAAAGCGUGGGGAGCAAACAGGAUUAGAUACCCGGGUAGUCCCUGUCUCUUAUAC